rnacentral:lncRNA from 1 species
GAAACUAGAAAGAAGGGAAUUAUGGGAAAGGAGGUUCCGGUUAUUCUUGCAGCCGGUUUGGUUUUUAUGUGUGGCUGUUAGAAGGCGGGAGUAUUAGCUGGUCAAUCAGGUCGUGUUUGGUGGGAGAUGUGAUUGGUGUCCUGCUGUGAGGGACAAAGGAACAGUGCAAUGGUUUUCUCUUGCCUGUAUUCUAAAUCUCAUCACCUGGCUGACAAAAUUGAUAGCAAGGCACUCUGGACUCUCAUGUUAUCCUGCAAUUUCUAAAAGUCAUCAACUGGAUCAUUCUACUCAGAUCUGUUUUCUCCUGCCUAAGCUGAUACAAAAGUUGAUUACCUCUUCCUUCCUCUUCCAACUCAAAGAUCAUCAAAUCCAAAUUAUUCAGAUGUUAUUAUAAAAUGUAACUCUCCACAGACAUGGAAUCAACACAUCAGUGGCAGAUUGGAUAAAGAAAAUAUGGUGCAUAUACACCAUGGAAUACUGUGCAUCCAUAAGAAAGCAUGAGAUCAUGUCCUUUGCAGGAACAUGGAUGGAGAUGGAGACCAUUACCCUUAGCAAACUAACACAGGAACAGAAAAUCAAAUACUGCAUGUUCUCACUUAUAAGUGGGACCUAAAUUAUGAGAACACACGGAUACAAAGAGGGGAACAACAGACACUGGGGCCUACUUGAACGUGGAGGAUGGGAGGAGGGAGAGGCUCAGAAAAAAAUAGCCAUUGGGUACUAGGUUUAGUACCUAAGUGAUGAAAUAAUCUGUACAACAAACCCCUGUGACACAAGUUUACCUAUGUAACAAACCUGCAGAUGUAUCUCUGAACCUAAAAGUUAAAAUAAGAUAA